UUGAACGCUGGCGGCAUGCCUUACACAUGCAAGUCGAACGGCAGCACGGGAGCAAUCCUGGUGGCGAGUGGCGAACGGGUGAGUAAUACAUCGGAACGUGCCCAGUUGUGGGGGAUAGCCCGGCGAAAGCCGGAUUAAUACCGCAUACGACCUACGGGUGAAAGCGGGGGAUCGCAAGACCCCGCGCUAUUGGAGCGGCCGAUGUCGGAUUAGCUAGUUGGUGGGGUAAAAGCCUACCAAGGCUACGAUCCGUAGCUGGUCUGGGAGGACGACCAGCCCCACUGGGACUGAGACACGGCCCAGCCUCCUACGGGAGGCAGCAGUGGGGAAUUUUGGACAAUGGGCGCAAGCCUGAUCCAGCCAUGCCGCGUGCGGGAAGAAGGCCUUCGGGUUGUAAACCGCUUUUGUCAGGGAAGAAACGGUUUGAGUUAAUACCUCGAACUAAUGACGGUACCUGAAGAAUAAGCACCGGCUAACUACGU
rnacentral:rRNA from 1 species